rnacentral:rRNA from 1 species
CCGCACAAGCGGUGGAGCAUGUGGUUUAAUUCGAUGCAACGCGAAGAACCUUACCUGGUCUUGACAUCCACAGAACUUUCCAGAGAUGGAUUGGUGCCUUCGGGAACUGUGAGACAGGUGCUGCAUGGCUGUCGUCAGCUCGUGUUGUGAAAUGUUGGGUUAAGUCCCGCAACGAGCGCAACCCUUAUCCUUUGUUGCCAGCGGUCCGGCCGGGAACUCAAAGGAGACUGCCAGUGAUAAACUGGAGGAAGGUGGGGAUGACGUCAAGUCAUCAUGGCCCUUACGACCAGGGCUACACACGUGCUACAAUGGCGCAUACAAAGAGAAGCGACCUCGCGAGAGCAAGCGGACCUCAUAAAGUGCGUCGUAGUCCGGAUUGGAGUCUGCAACUCGACUCCAUGAAGUCGGAAUCGCUAGUAAUCGUGGAUCAGAAUGCCACGGUGAAUACGUUCCCGGGCCUUGUACACACCGCCCGUCACACCAUGGGAGUGGGUUGCAAAAGAAGUAGGUAGCUUAACCUUCGGGAGGGCGCUUACCACUUUGUGAUUCAUGACUGGGGUGAAGUCGUAACAAGGUAACCGUAGGGGAACCUGCGGUUGGAUCAC